GACGAACGCUGGCGGCGUGCUUAACACAUGCAAGUCGAACGAGAAUCUGUGGAACGAGGAUUCGUCCAAGGGAAGCAGAGGACAGUGGCGGACGGGUGAGUAACGCGUGAGGAACCUGCCUUUCAGAGGGGGACAACAGUUGGAAACGACUGCUAAUACCGCAUAACACAUAGGGGUCGCAUGGCCUUUAUGUCAAAGAUUUAUCGCUGAAAGAUGGCCUCGCGUCUGAUUAGCUAGUUGGUGAGGUAACGGCCCACCAAGGCGACGAUCAGUAGCCGGACUGAGAGGUUGAACGGCCACAUUGGGACUGAGAUACGGCCCAGACUCCUACGGGAGGCAGCAGUGGGGAAUAUUGGGCAAUGGGCGCAAGCCUGACCCAGCAACGCCGCGUGAAGGAAGAAGGCUUUCGGGUUGUAAACUUCUUU
rnacentral:rRNA from 1 species